rnacentral:misc_RNA from 1 species
CGCACAUUGCGCCCAUUAGUAUUCUAGUGGGCAUGCCUGUUCGAGCGUCAUUUCAACCCCUAAGCACAGCUUAUUGUUGGGAAUCUACGGCCCCCGUAGUUCCUCAAAGACAUUGGCGGAGCGGCAGUGGUCCUCUGAGCGUAGUAAUCUUUUUAUCUCGCUUCUGUUAGGCCCUGCCCCCCCGGCCGUAAAACCCCCAAUUUUUUCUGGUUGACCUCGGAUCAGGUAGGAAUACCCGCUGAACUUAA